rfam:Arabidopsis thaliana chloroplast DNA, complete genome, ecotype: Columbia.
AAUGACUAUUAACUAUUAUAAGAUAUUAAGACAAAAAGAAUAAUAAAUCUAACAAGGGGAUUAUGAUACAUCUAGUUGUAGUUGAUUUU